rnacentral:rRNA from 1 species
CCGGCGACCGGCGCACGGUGAGUAACACGUAUGCAACCUGCCCUCUUCAGGGGACGAACCUUCCGAAAGGGAGGCUAAUCCCGCGUAUAUCGGUUUCGGGCAUCCGAGAUCGAGGAAAGAUUCAUCGGAAGAGGAUGGGCAUGCGGCGCAUUAGCUAGACGGCGGGGUAACGGCCCACCGUGGCGACGAUGCGUAGGGGUUCUGAGAGGAAGGUCCCCCACCACUGGUACUGAGACACGGACCAGACUCCUACGGGAGGCAGCAG